rnacentral:misc_RNA from 1 species
CAACCAUCAAGCCCCCGGCUUGUGUUGGGGACCUGCGGCUGCCCGCAGGCCCUGAAAACCAGUGGCGGGCUCGCUGUCACACCGAGCGUAGUAGUAUUAUCUCGCUCAGGGCGUGCUGCGGGUUCCGGCCGUUAAAAAGCCUUCAUAACCCAA